GUCGGAGUGGCGGAACAGGCAGACGCGCACGUUUGAGGGGCGUGUGGUUUUACCGUGAGGGUUCAAGUCCCUCCUCCGACACCA
rnacentral:tRNA from 1 species